GCGGUGAUAGUUUAAUCGGAUAGAACACUAGCCUUCUAAGCUUGUAGCGAGGGUUCGAAUCCCUCUCACUGCGCCA
rnacentral:tRNA from 1 species